GUCUUGUCCAGGAGGGCGCUGGCGGCAAACACCGCUCGGAGGCAAGAGGGGCUACCCCUUGCAACAGGAUCAAGCAUGCAGGAAAAAUAGCCAAUAGGGCGUUGACUUGAUCCAUGUUUCUGGGUGAGGACUCCGGAAGCAUGUCCUGAUUUUUCGGAGACAAACAGGUUGAAGGGAAGUUGGUAGUUGGGUAGGCCCAAGGCAGGUGCAGAAGCAAUAGCUCUUUUCAGAGUGUGGAAACAGAUAAUAGUUUCUUCUGUGAGAUGAAAGGGCUCACUCCUGAGGGCAUCAUAGAGUGGCUGCAUGAGCUUUGAUGCUUCAGGUAUCCAGGACCUGCAGUACGUGAUAAGACCCAG